UACAGAGGUCCCAAGCGUUGUUCGGAUUCACUGGGCGUACAGGGUGCGUAGGCGGUCGGGUAAGUCUGAUGUGAAAUCUCACAGCUUAACUGUGAAACUGCAUUGGAUACUAUCCGGCUAGAGGAAUGGAGGGGAGACUGGAAUACUUGGUGUAGCAGUGAAAUGCGUAGAUAUCAAGUGGAACACCAGUGGCGAAGGCGAGUCUCUGGACAGUUCCUGACGCUGAGGCACGAAAGCCAGGGGAGCAAACGGG
rnacentral:rRNA from 1 species